UGACCUCAGCUUGUCUUUCCCGUGCUCCUUAUUUCCUUCAUUAACAAUAGUCUCAUUUACCGUCUCUUGCAUUGUUACACCAAACUCACCGUCAAAUCUCGUCACCCGAUAAAUCAAAAUUCAGAUAACCCGAAGGUUUUCAUGGUUGCAAAAUGGUUUAAAAAAACUAAUGGCCGAUUUUAGUCGGAUUGGACAUUUUUGGCUCGAAUCCGACCGGAAUCGACCAAUGAUCACCCCCACCACCAUUUCUUAUUGACCAUGGAAGUUUUCUUUCACCGCAAAGGUUUCUUCUGAAGUUUAUCUUUCUUUCACUCUCUCUAACGAAAAAAUCAGAAAAGGAAAAAAAUUGAGUAGUUGUUGAAGAGAUUGGAGAUGACGAGCAGGUUUUUUUUUAAAGAGUCAACAUAUCCUCAUGAAAAGCAAAGGCAACAACUAAGCAAGCAAUUUGGCCUUGCCCCAAGGCAACAUCGAAGAACAACUGAACAUGUGUAUUGAAAAUGCCAUACUCAAAGCUGAGGUAGAGAAGCUCCAAGUAGCUUCAGGGAAAUACGCACCAAGAACAAUGUCCCCUUCAUGUUCUUCUGGCCAUGACCAAGAGAAUAAAAGCACUUUGGAUUUUUACGCUGAAAUUUUCGGACUUGAUAAGUCAAAGAUAAUGGAAGUAGUAAACCAAGCAAUGGAGGAGCUCAGUAAGAUGGCUACCGUGAGGAUACUGCAGUGGCUUCACAGCUUUGAGAAUGGUCGUGAAAUACUUGAUUAUGAUGAAAAUGUGAAGGAAUUUGCUGUUGAAAAUUAAAGUAUUUGGUUGGGUUAGAAGUGAGGAAGAGGUGAAGAAUUUGUAAGUUUAUGUGAGAAUGUUAUGGUACAGGUAAGUGAGCAUUGAGUAGAUACAUAAAUUUCAUAAUUAUGGAUUUCGAAAGCUCA